AGAAUGAACGCUGGCGGCAUGGAUUAGGCAUGCAAGUCGCACGAGAAUUCCGCUUUCGGGCGGGAGGACAGUGGCGAACGGGUGAGUAACACGUGAGCACCCACCCCCGGGUCGGGCACAGCCCGCGGAAACGCGGAUUAAUACCCGACGGUCCCUUCGGGGCAAAGAGCAAUCGCCCGGGGACGGGCUCGCGUCCCAUCAGCUAGUCGGCGGGGUAACGGCCCGCCGAGGCGACGACGGGUAGGUGGUCUGAGAGGAUGGUCACCCACACUGGGACUGAGACACUGCCCAGACUCCUACGGGAGGCUGCAGUCGAGAAUCAUCCGCAAUGGGCGAAAGCCUGACGGCGCAAUGCCGCGUGGGGGAUGAAGGCCCUCGGGUCGUAAACCCCUGUCAGAGGGGACGAAAAACAUGACGGUACCCUCAGAGGAAGCCACGGCUAACUACGUGCCAGCAGCCGCGGUAACACGUAGGUGGCGAGCGUUAUUCGGAUUUACUGGGCGUAAAGGGUCCGCAGGGGGUUUGCCAAGUCCGGUGUGAAAGUCCGGGGCUCAACCCCGGAACUGCGCCGGAUACUGGUGAACUUGAGUGCGCGAGGGGCAGGCGGAAUUCCUGGUGUAGCGGUGGAAUGCGUGGAUAUCAGGAAGAACACCGACGGCGAAAGCGGCCUGCUGGCGCGCGACUGACCCUGAUGGACGAAAGCGUGGGUAGCGAACAGGAUUAGAUACCCUGGUAGUCCACGCCGUANACGGUGCAGACCCGAUGCGGGGGGUUUUCCCUCCGUGUCCAAGCCAACGCGUUAAGUCUGCCGCCUGGGGACUACGGUCGCAAGGCUAAAACUCAAAGGAAUUGACGGGGGCCCGCACAAGCGGUGGAGCAUGUGGCUCAAUUCGAGGCAACGCGAAGAA
rnacentral:rRNA from 1 species